rnacentral:lncRNA from 1 species
AAAAAAAAGGGGGCUAGCAAAGUUGUUUAGAGCUAAGAUUUGUUUAGAAGUUGAGAAAAUCCUUUAUAUAUUUCAAAGAAAAAGAGUUUUAUGUGCAAAGUGUUCUUGGGAUCUUUUGGUGAGAGAUGGGAGUUGGGUUUGACAUUAUGAAGUGAUUGUGUAACUUGUAUGUUUGAGAAAAGGGUAGAACAAUGGAGAUUGAGCAUUGUAUGCAUGAGUUGGUCC